CCUACGGGAGGCAGCAGUAGGGAAUUUUCGUCAAUGGGCGCAAGCCUGAACGAGCGAUGCCGCGUGAGUGAAGAAGGCCUUCGGGUCGUAAAGCUCUGUUGCGGGGGAAAAAAGGCAGCAUCAGGAAAUGGGUGCUGACUGAUGGUGCCCCGCCAGAAAGUCACGGCUAACUACGUGCCAGCAGCCGCGGUAAUACGGAGGAUGCGAUCGUUAUCCGGAUUUAUUGGGUUAAAAGGGUGCGCAGGCGGUCUGUUAAGUCAGCGGUCAAAGCCCGGGGCUCAACCCCGGCCCGCCGUUGAAACUGGCAGUCUCGAGUUGGAGAGAAGUAUGCGGAAUGCGCGGUGUAGCGGUGAAAUGCAUAGAUAUCGCGCAGAACUCCGAUUGCGAAGGCAGCAUGCCGGCUCCACACUGACGCUGAGGCACGAAAGCGUGGGUAUCGAACAGGAUUAGAUACCCCGGUAGUC
rnacentral:rRNA from 1 species